rnacentral:lncRNA from 1 species
AAGGACGAUCAGCUGAAGCUUCAUGGGUUUUAAGUGCUUGUGGCUCUCUGAAGCUUAAGUGAGGAUUUCCUUGCAAUGAGUAGAAUUUCCCUUCUGUCCCUUGUCACAAGUUUAAAAACCUCACAGCUUGUAUAAUGUAAUCAUUUGGGGUCCGCUUUUAACUUGGGCUAGUGUUAACUCCUUCAUGCAAUAAACUGAAAAGAGCAAAAAAAAAAAAAAAAAA